AUGGCUGCAGUGAAGUACGGGAUCAUUGGGGUGGGAAUGAUGGGCAGAGAGCACCUCGUCAAUCUGUACCAUCUUCGCAGCGAAGGCGUGGCUGUUGUCGCCGUAGCUGACCCCCAUGUCCAUUCCCAAAAGCUUGCCGUAGAAUUAGCUCAAUCCUUCAAUUGGACACUCGAGGUUUUUUCAGGACACCGGAUGCUAUUAGACAGCGGUCUCUGCGAUGUACUGGUUGUGUCAUCUCCAAACAUGACCCAUUAUGAAAUCCUUAUGGACAUAAUCAAUCACCGGAAACCCCACCAUGUGCUAGUGGAGAAGCCAUUGUGCACCACAGUCUCUCACUGCAAAGAGGUUGUAAAUGCUGCUAGAAAGAGACAGGAUAUGCUUGUACAAGUUGGUUUGGAGUACAGGUACAUGCCACCUGUUGCUAAACUGAUAGAAAUAGUUAAGGGUGGAAAUCUUGGACGGAUUAAAAUGGUGGCAAUCCGGGAGCAUCGCUUUCCUUUUUUGGUCAAGGUGAACAAUUGGAAUCGGUUCAAUGCCAACACAGGAGGAACAUUGGUAGAGAAGUGCUGCCACUUCUUUGAUCUGAUGAGGCUGUUUGCAGGGGCAAAUCCUGUCCGUGUGAUGGCUUCAGGAGCGAUUGAUGUUAAUCACAAGGAUGAAAGAUAUGAUGGAAAGGUACCAGAUAUUAUUGAUAAUGCUUAUGUUAUUGUUGAAUUUGACAAUGGCUCUCGAGGGAUGCUCGACCUUUGCAUGUUUGCUGAAGGCAGUAAAAAUGAGCAAGAAAUUUGUGUUGUUGGUGACAAUGGGAAGGGGGAGGCAUUUGUUCCUGAGAGUAUUCUACAUUUUGGUACCCGAGUGGCAGGGAGAGAUGGUGUCCAAACUUUAAAGGCUGAGGAUAAUAGAAUAAAAUACGACGGACUGCAUCAUGGGUCUAGCUACUUGGAACACCUUAACUUCUUGUCUGCUAUUCAAGCUAAAGGUGGGCAACUUCCUGCUGUGGGCUUGCAAGAUGGUCUAGUUUCAGUUGCUAUUGGCGUUGCAGCACAGCUGUCCAUAGAGAAAGGCCGUUUUGUAACGAUUGAUGAAGUCAUGGAUGAGCCUUGUAGCAAUGCUUCUGCAUGACUGUUUAUCUUUGGUGGCAGUGGAAGCUGUUAUUGUUAUUCGGUCAUCCAGUCUCUUUGUUCGGACAUGAUAUUGAGGGCAAGACAGUAGGGAAUUCUUGAACUCCCUUGUAGCACACCUUGAUGACAAUAGCUAAUUAUACAGCCAUAUUCAAUUUUUUUAAGAAAAAGAAAGAGCACAGUUGGAGAUUGGUGCAUACGGUAUUGGAGAAGAUCACGUCCAAGCCCCAAAAUGCAUUCAACCGAGGUCGGCAAAUCCUUGACUCAGUUCUCAUUGCCAAUGAACACUUGGAAAGUCACAUCAAGUUGAGUGAACCCUGGUUAUUAUGCAAAUUUGACAUGGAUAAGGCAUAUGAUCGUGUAAACUGAAAUUUUUUGUUACACAUGCUCAAGAGGUGUGGACUUGGAGUGAGAUGGUGCUCUUGGAUCAAAUUUUGCAUCUCCAUUGUACGUUUCUCUAUCUUGGUGAAUGGUACCCAAAUGGGUUUCUUUGGAAGUUCGAGGGGUUUGAGGUAAGGUGAUCUCCUAUCUCCAUUACUCUUUGUUUUCAUAAUAUAAACUUUUAGUAAAAUGAUUGCAGGUCUUGUGGAAUGUGGAUUUUUAUCUGGAUUUGUCGUAGGGGCGACAAGAAUCGGCACACUUGAGAUGACUCACCUCUUAUUUAAAGAUGAUAUUGUGAUACUCUUGUCUUUUGUGGGGCUAGUCAUAAUCAUAUUCAAACCUUGCGAGCUCUUUUAAUUUGUUUUGAAGCGGUUUCGGGUUUGAAAGUCAGGGUGUGUUUGGAUGUUGAAGUGAGUUGAGUUGAGUUGAGUUAA